UUCAUAAAGUUGGUUGCAUUGGUCUAGUAAUUUGCUGACGGUCCCUCGCGCUCCGGGGUUAAGCCACGCAGGACGUGUACUGCAGACUGUUCCUUGGUCCCCAAUCCUCAAUUUUGUUAGUACUUCCGGAAACAGAGAGGCAGCUGAUGUUUAGAUGAGAGACAACGCUGGUUGCAAAAACACAGUAAGCAGUGUCCUUUCACCACUCGCCACGCAACAGGUGCAUUUCUGUGCUCGCUCCAGAUUUAACAUGUCCCACUACCAAGUUAUAAAGAACCGACGGACCUUGCUGGAACGGGCAGAGAAGUUUAUCUCUGAUGUCUAUUUUACCGACUGCAACCUGAGAGGGAGGCUCUAUGGCUCCAGCUGCCCUGUUGAGUCUUUAUCAUCUUUCCUGACUCCAAAGAGAAUCCCCUUCUCCGAGGCUGAGAAACAGACCUUCCAGCUAGCCAAGGUUGGAGACAGCUUCGGACCCACGUGGUGGACCUGCUGGUUUAAGGUGUCCCUUUGCAUUCCUGAAGCCUGGAAGGGGAAAGAGGUUCACUUCCUGUGGGAGAGCGAUGGCGAGGGGAUGGUGUGGAGAGAUGGGCAGCCCGUACAGGGCUUAACUAAAGAGGGCCAGAAAACGAGCUACGUUUUGACCGAGAGCCUUACUGAUGAAGAGCCACACAGUUUAUGUCUGUAUGUGGAGCUGGCGUGUAACGGGCUGUUCGGUGCAGGCCAGGGUUCCAUGAUUGCGCCCCCUGACCCUGACAGGAAGUACUCCCUGCAGAGGGCGGAGCUUGUGGUCUUUAACAGAGGCGUUGAUGAGCUGCUGGUGGAUUUUGAGAUGCUUGUCGAUAUUGUGAAGCUGCUGGGAGAGAAUGACCAGCGAGGAUUCCAGGCUCUCUUUACAGCCAAUGAAAUGGUGAAUGUGUGUGACGUCACCGACCCGAACUCCUUUCUCGCCGCCCGGAAGCUAGCAAAGAAGUUUUUCAGCCAGAAGAAUGGGGAGAGUCAACACGUCGUCCACGCCAUGGGGCACUGCCACAUCGACACAGCUUGGCUCUGGCCGUAUGAAGAGACUAUUCGUAAGUGCGCUCGCAGCUGGGUGACUGCCAUUCGCCUCAUGGAGAAAAAUGCUGACUUUACUUUCACCUGCUCCCAGGCGCAGCAGUUGGAGUGGGUGAAACAAUGGUACCCAGGGCUCUAUUCACAAAUCCAGCACUUUGCCAGCAGAGGCCAGUUUGUACCCGUCGGGGGAACCUGGGUGGAGAUGGAUGGAAACCUCCCGUCAGGGGAGUCCAUGGUCAGACAGUUUCUGGAGGGACAGCGCUUCUUCCACAAGGAGUUUGGGAGGUACUGCACUGAGUUCUGGUUGCCCGAUACGUUUGGCUACUCUGCCCAGCUGCCUCAGAUCAUGCAGGGCUGUGGGAUAACAAGAUUCCUGACUCAGAAACUAAGCUGGAACCUCAUCAACAAGUUCCCUCACAGCACCUUUUUCUGGGAAGGCCUGGACGGGUCACAGGUUCUCACUCACUUCCCCCCUGGGGACUCGUACGAGAUGAAGUGCAAAGUGGAGGACCUGCUGAACUCGGUGAGGAAUAACAAGGACAAGGGACGUGCCAAUCACAGCGCGGUGCUGUUUGGUUAUGGGGAUGGAGGAGGGGGGCCCACGCAGCGCAUGUUGCAGCGGCUGGAGCGAGUCAGGGACACCGACGGUUUACCCAGGGUCCAGAUGUCCAGUCCUGACCAGCUCUUCUCAGCGCUGGAGGCAGACUCCACAUUGCUUUGCACCUGGACAGGAGAACUAUUCCUAGAACUGCACAACGGCUCCUACACUACACAAGCACAGAUUAAGAAGGGAAACCGGCAGUGUGAGACUCUGCUCCAUGACAUCGAAGUGGUGAGCAGCCUGGCUCUAUCGAGGAACCCAAACUUCCAGUAUCCCGCUGACUGGCUGCACAAACUCUGGAGACUCCUGCUUCUUAAUCAGUUUCAUGAUGUGAUUCCUGGCACCUGUAUAGAGAUGGUGGUGCAGGAUGCACUGAAGUACUACCAGGAGAUCCGCAGUGCCGGGGCUGAGCUUCUGCAGGAAGCCUGUAGGUCACUCCUGGCAGAGAAAGGGGUUCAUGAGGGGAAGGAGGGGAGCCCAAGCCUGGCUCUGAACACCCUGCCAUGGGAGCGCAGUGAAGUGAUCCAGCUGCCAGGGGGAGCUGCUGAGCCAACACUUGCACUGGUGAAGGUGCCAAGUGUUGGUAUCGCUGCAGUUACAGAAUCUAUCGAACCAGACUGCCCUGUAUCCGUGUCCACUCAGGCCGACGGCACCGUUGUCAUGGAGAACGGGAUCUUACGGGUGACUGUGGAUAAAGCAGGCCGAGUGGCAUCAAUCUGCCUGGUUAACUCAAACAGGGAAGCCAUUGCGGGCGGCUGCUUUGGAAACCAGUUUGUCAUGUUUGAUGAUGUCCCCCUGUACUGGGAUGCCUGGGAUGUGAUGGAUUACCACCUCCAGACCAGGAAGCCUGUUUCGGGGGUCAUACAUCCAGUUGAAGUGGUGCACUCUGGGGGUCUGAGAGGAAGUGUGAAAUUCUCCUUGAGAAUCAGUGAGAAGAGCAGCAUUUCGCAGGAGCUCGUCCUCGAUGCUCGGUGUCCCUAUGUCAAGUUCCAUACAGAGGUGGACUGGCAGGAGUCCCACAAGUUUCUGAAGGUGGAGUUCCCACUGAGAGUGCGCAGCCCCAACGCUACCUACGAAAUCCAGUUCGGACAUCUGCAGAGACCCACCCACUGGAACACAUCGUGGGACUGGGCCCGGUUUGAGGUUUGGGGUCACAAAUGGGCAGACCUCUCUGAGCAUGGAUUUGGAGUUGCAUUGCUUAACGACUGCAAAUACGGCUAUUCAGUGCUCAGGAACACCCUCACCCUGUCUCUGCUACGUGCUCCCAAGUCCCCCGAUGCCACAGCCGAUAUGGGACAGCACCAGUUCACUUAUGCAGUUAUGCCCCACACAGGUUCCUUCCAAGAAGCAGCUGUUAUUCAGAGUGCAUACAACUUAAACUUCCCCCUGCGUUUGCUCCCCAAGGAAACAGGCAGCCCUCAAACUGGAUCCUGGAGUGCAUUUUCUCUGAGCUCGUCUGCUAUCAUCCUAGAAACCAUAAAACAGACUUUUCCUCACCCUGUGUUUGCUGGUUCUCUGCUUUUACCUUUGCCCUGGAAACGCUCUCUGAUGGGCAGGCCGAGGACAGAAAGGAUGCCCUGGUGCUGAGAAUGUUCGAGUCUCACGGAAGCUCUGCAUCAGCAAUGCUCUGCUCUGCCCUGCCCCUCAAGGAGGCGCUGUUUUGCGAUCUCCUCGAACGUCCUGAUGCGACUCGUCCUGCACCAAUCACAGCCUCAGGAAUCUCGCUGACCUUUACCCCCUUUCAAAUCGUCUCCCUCCUGGUGAUUCUCAAAUAGAGAAGCCUGGCCUGGUCUGCACCUCCUUUGUUACACCAGUGCAAAGCGUGCCUCCAUUGUUUCUGCAAGUUGAACUCUCUUAAUAUAAAUACAUUACCUUUUGAUUGCAGAGAGGUGACAGAUCCACCAGGGUUUACCUUUUCAGUGCAAUUUUGACAUUUUUAUACUGUGAAUAAAAUGUGUUGCAUUAAACUGCCCACAUACCCAGCCCACACUUACAAAACAUGAAUAAAAAGCUAUGUAUUGUUUUACAGUAAGUAAUUUAUAAGGGAGUUCAUGUUUAAGUGGUUCGAGGAAGCCCAUUAAGUUCUAUGUUAAUAAUCGAAAGAGUGGUGGAUCUUAAUUACACCAACCUUUAAAUCUUUAUUCAUCCUACCUCUAUUAUCAUCUGUAAAUACAAUUAAAAUCCCCUGAGAAAACAUUUGUGAUAAGACAAGUUUACGUGUUUAGUGGUAUUGAGAGACGUCACUGUUUAGAGACUUAAAUGUUCAAGAAUGAUUGUUAUCCUUUUUUUCAACUGAAUCUAAUAAAAACAAUGUUCUUGUGUUUUAAAAAAAAUGAAUUUGCAACCAGACAUCAGGUGAAAAUUGAAAGCUGAAUUAAAUCUAUGUACCUGGAUUUUUGUAAAUGUUCUUAAUAAAAAUGACUGCAAA